GAUGAACGCUGGCGGCGUGCCUAAUACAUGCGAGUCGAGCGAACAGAUGAGGAGCUUGCUCCUCUGACGUUAGCGGCGGACGGGUGAGUAACACGUGGAUAACCUACCUAUAAGACUGGGAUAACUUCGGGAAACCGGAGCUAAUACCGGAUAAUAUAUCGAACCGCAUGGUUCAAUAGUGAAAGACGGUUUUGCUGUCACUUAUAGAUGGAUCCGCGCCGCAUUAGCUAGUUGGUAAGGUAACGGCUUACCAAGGCAACGAUGCGUAGCCGACCUGAGAGGGUGAUCGGCCACACUGGAACUGAGACACGGUCCAGACUCCUACGGGAGGCAGCAGUAGGGAAUCUUCCGCAAUGGGCGAAAGCCUGACGGAGCAACGCCGCGUGAGCGAUGAAGGUCUUCGGAUCGUAAAACUCUGUUAUUAGGGAAGAACAAAUGUGUAAGUAACUAUGCACGUCUUGACGGUACCUAAUCAGAAAGCCACGGCUAACUACGUG
rnacentral:rRNA from 1 species